AGAAAGAAGUGCCCCCGGUUGAUUUCCGUAACUCGCGUCGACAAUUGAUCGAGUAUUUUUUGCUUUAAUUUAUUCGUGGCGUUGGACGAUGCAGGUGUUUACGACUCUAUUACUCUUCUGUUCGCUGGUAACAACAGGUAUUUGCCUGGAGGUGGAAGGCGAGCGAACAGACGAGCGUCAACAGCUGCUGAAGGGGACACAGCAACCCCUGGAAAGGGCCGACGAGAGGCCUACUGAGAUCCGACAGAAACGACAGUCGGACAGGACAGUGCGCGUCCUGUCGUUCCAUCGCGGACUGUGGGCGAAGCCUUCCCUCGACAGCUACCUUCGAUAUAAUUUCAGUCACAACAUCGUGCACGAACUCUCGGUGUGUUACUGGGUAAGGUUCGAAAGAUUCGUAAGGUUGAACGUCCACUUCUCUUACAACAACAUUAACAGCGACGAUAAUAAUGACGCUU